UUUUUUGUGUACGCAUUGGCGUAGCGGUCGCAGUCGGCCGUUCGGAUUCGACACUCGGUUCCCGAUUUAUGUAUCGUUUCACAGCGAGCAUCGAUCGAGACGCUGCAAAAGCUCGCCGCGAAAGUUUUUCAUUCAGUUUUCUUCCAACCGUCGUCGACGUUCGUUCGCUCGUUCGUUUGAGACUUCUCUGCUGCGAUUCGGUCGACCCGAGUGUGUUUCCUUCUGCGUGAUCGAGGAACCCGCGCGAAUUCGAUUGUGUUUUGUGUGGGGACAAGUACCUAGUGUCACUUGUUUGGUGAUAUUUUUGGAUGAUUGUCAGCGAUAGUGAUACUGAUUGAUCAAAAUCAAAGUGACAGUGUCGAACGUGGCCGAUGUGUGGUGACAAAUUUAUUUCCAGCGAAUAAUUUUGAUCACAGUGCGCUUUUUGGAAUCAAACUUCUAUGCCUACACUGUUCUGUAGGCAGUUGCGUAGAAGCAAAACAAGUCAGUGUGUGAGAUAAACAGCUUUUCGGUGUUGAAGAAGAACAAACACUGAAACCGGAGUUUGAUUACGCAGGUCAUUUCCAGAACACUUUGGACAUACGCCUACUGCCCAACAAUUAGCCCGAAAAAAAACAACAGUUCCCAUAAAAUCCGAGAAAAAUCUGAUCGUUAAGUAAGGUGAACGACUGACUGCGCGAGUGUCCAACCCGAUCAGUUGAAAUUCGAAACCGAUACCAAAUUUGGACGCAGCCGAAGGAAAUUCCAGUUCCAGUAUUUGGGGUCCACUGCGGUCGAAAAAUCGCGAGAAGGAAAGGAAACAUUAACCGCCAGAGUACCUAUAUAAAAAAAAGUUUAUUACUAUUGCCUUUGCCCAUGGUUUUUGCGCGCGGUGUGUUUCUCUCUGGUCUGGUUUGGUUGUCGCCCAAAGGCGUGUGAUUAAAAAGUAAUCUGCGGAAUCGGAACCAGUCUUUGGGUACCUAGUGGCGACCAGGUUGCUCGGUUGUUCGCAAAAAUAAAAAUCCGAUUUAGUGUCUCCUCCGCCCGGUGAGAGUUGUGGAGUGACAGAGGGGCUAAAGAGCACGUUCGCGCGCACGCACGACGAAGAAAAGAAUAAUCAUAGAGUGCUGCCGCACUGCGUGUGUCCCGCAUCAAGAAGAAAGAAGUGGAUCACAGCAAUCCGCACAGUCGGUGAAGUGAGUGUUUUGUAAUUGUUGUUCUUUUUUUUUGUGAAGGUUGAAUUUCGACGUUUAUGCCAUUUGGGUGCGCCCAUCAGGUUUGGCGCAGUCAGUGUGUGAUUUUCGGGUGUUCCGACGUUCCGACGACCGACCGACCGACCGACUACUUUGAUCGAAAGUGGAAACUGCGCCAAGUUGCAACUGCUCUGGAGGAACGAGUUUUGUGUGCCGCACCGCACGGUUUGGAUUUUAGUGUUGUUUUUCGUGAUUGUGUGCUGAGCUUGCUUCUGGAACCAAGCAGUUCAGGUGUUUGGGAUUUUCGAGCCAAGGAAUUGCUGCAGCUGUAGUGCUUGCUAUCCGGAGAAAGACGUUUCUGCGCGCUGUAAUGACAGUGCAACUCGUUUAGUACAGGU